rnacentral:rRNA from 1 species
UGGCGGCGUGCCUAACACAUGCAAGUCGCACGAGAAAGUGGAGCAAUCCAUGAGUAAAGUGGCGCACGGGUGAGUAACACGUGAAUCAUCUACCUCCGAGUGGGGAAUAACCUAGAGAAAUCUGGGCUAAUACCGCAUAACACUUACGAGUCAAAGCAGCAAUGCGCUUGGAGAGGAGUUCGCGGCCGAUUAGCUAGUUGGCGGGGUAAUGGCCCACCAAGGCGAUGAUCGGUAUCCGGCCUGAGAGGGCGCACGGACACACUGGAACUGAAACACGGUCCAGACUCCUACGGGAGGCAGCAGUGGGGAAUUUUGCGCAAUGGGGGAAACCCUGACGCAGCAACGCCGCGUGGAGGAUGACAUAUCUUGGUAUGUAAACUCCUUUCGAUAGGGAAGAUUAUGACGGUACCUAUAGAAGAAGCCCCGGCUAACUUCGUGCCAGCAGCCGCGGUAAUACGAGGGGGGCAAGCGUUGUUCGGAUUUAUUGGGCGUAAAGGGUGCGUANGCGGUUUGAUAAGUCUGGUGUGAAAUCUUUGGGCUCAACCCAAAGUCUGCACUAGAAACUGUCGGGCUUGAGUAUUGGGGAGGUGAGUGGAAUUUCCGGUGUA